GGCGACCCAAGCCUCCCUCGUCACCCGGGCCCUCACCACCCCCACCGCCUCCGGCGCCCUCGUCCCAUGGAAACCAUCUCCAUCCCUCUCCUUCACCCGCCCCCUCUCCCGCGGCCGGGUCAAGAUGUCAGCAGCCGAGACCCAGACUGAAGCCCCGGUGGGUUUCACCCCACCGGAGCUGGACCCCAACACCCCCUCCCCGAUCUUCGGCGGCAGCACUGGUGGCCUCCUUCGCAAGGCCCAAGUGGAGGAGUUUUAUGUCAUCACUUGGGAGUCGCCGAAGGAGCAGGUGUUUGAGAUGCCGACGGGCGGUGCCGCCAUCAUGAGGGAGGGGCCAAACCUUCUGAAGCUGGCGAGGAAGGAGCAGUGCUUGGCGCUCGGGACGAGGCUGAGGUCCAAGUACAAGAUCAAGUACCAGUUCUACCGGGUGUUCCCCAACGGUGAGGUGCAGUACCUUCACCCCAAGGACGGGGUGUACCCGGAGAAGGUGAACCCUGGCCGCCAGGGGGUCGGGCAGAACUUCCGGUCCAUCGGCAAGAAUGUCAGCCCGAUCGAAGUGAAGUUCACCGGCAAGCAGCCAUAUGAUGUAUAAGGUUAUGGGUUGUCUUCUCCCCUCUUGAAUUGAAUGCUCCUCUGCGAGUCUGUUGGUCUUUCUCCUUGUAUGUUGUUUAAAGAACUUGUAAUAUUUGAUUUGCUUUUGCAAAUAGGUAGUGUGGCAAUAUACUAAUUCUAUGAUUA
rnacentral:misc_RNA from 1 species